UACAGAGGUCUCGAGCGUUGUUCGGAUUCAUUGGGCGUAAAGGGUGCGUAGGCGGCGCGGUAAGUCGGGUGUGAAAUCUUGGAGCUUAACUCCGAAACUGCAUUCGAUACUGCCGUGCUUGAGGACUGGAGAGGAGACUGGAAUUUACGGUGUAGCGGUGAAAUGCGUAGAUAUCAGGAGGAACACCAGUGGCGAAGGCGGCUCACU
rnacentral:rRNA from 1 species